UACGUAGGGUGCAAGCGUUGUCCGGAUUUAUUGGGCGUAAAGAGCUCGUAGGCGGUCUGUCGCGUCGGAUGUGAAAACCCAGGGCUCAACCCUGGGCCUGCAUUCGAUACGGGCAGGCUAGAGUUCGGCAGGGGAGACUGGAAUUCCUGGUGUAGCGGUGAAAUGCGCAGAUAUCAGGAGGAACACCGGUGGCGAAGGCGGGUCUCUGGGCCGAUACUGACACUGAGGAGCGAAAGCGUGGGGAGCGAACAGG
rnacentral:rRNA from 1 species